UGGGGAAUAUUGCACAAUGGGCGCAAGCCUGAUGCAGCCAUGCCGCGUGUAUGAAGAAGGCCUUCGGGUUGUAAAGUACUUUCAGUCGGGAGGAAGGUGGUAAGGUUAAUAACCUUAUCAAUUGACGUUACCGACAGAAGAAGCACCGGCUAACUCCGUGCCAGCAGCCGCGGUAAUACGGAGGGUGCAAGCGUUAAUCGGAAUUACUGGGCGUAAAGCGCACGCAGGCGGUUGAUUGAGUCAGAUGUGAAAUCCCCGGGCUUAACCCGGGAAUUGCAUCUGAUACUGGUCAGCUAGAGUCUUGUAGAGGGGGGUAGAAUUCCAUGUGUAGCGGUGAAAUGCGUAGAGAUGUCGAGGAAUACCGGUGGCGAAGGCGGCCCCCUGGACAAAGACUGACGCUCAGGUGCGAAAGCGUGGGGAGCAAACAGG
rnacentral:rRNA from 1 species